AUAUCAGUCAUGCAUAGCAUAUCAAUAAGCGGAGGAAAAGAAACUAACAAGGAUUCCCUUAGUAACGGCGAGUGAAGCGGGGAAGAGCUCAAAUUUGAAAUCUUCAAGGUUCUACCUUGACGAAUUGUAGUUUAUAGAAGUGUUUUCUGUUAGUGGAGUGGCAAAAGUUCUUUGGAAUAGGACAUCAUAGAGGGUGAGAAUCCCGUAUUUGGUCAUUCCUCCUAGCGUUGUGAUACACUUUCAACGAGUCGGAUUGUUUGGGAAUGCAGUCCAAAAUGGGUGGUAAAUUUCAUCUAAAGCUAAAUAUUGGCGAGAGACCGAUAGCGAACAAGUACCGUGAGGGAAAGAUGAAAAGAACUUUGAAAAGAGAGUUAAACAGUACGUGAAAUUGUCAAAAGGGAAGCGUUUGACACCAGUGUUGUUUUUCCGAAAAUCAAUUACGAAUGUUUUGUUUUUAAGAAGUUAUGACUUCAUCGGCUUGCUUCUCUCUUUACUGAAACUUUCUUAAUGCACCUUUCGGUUAACAAGGUCAACAUCAAUUUCUUUUGUUGUAAAAGGGUAUGAGGAAGGUGGCUUUCUUUUCGGAGAAAGUGUUUAUAGCCUUGUACCUCUGCAAUCGGAGAGAUUGAGGUCUGCAGCGUAGAUCCUUCGGGGUUAGAUACGUUUGUGCUAAGUUAUAGCUUUUCAUAGACAACUUGUUGACUAUGUUUAGUCUUGUAGCUUACUCGCUGACGCUAUUUUACCUACGCUUAGGAUGUUGAUCUCUCACAGUCGAGC
rnacentral:rRNA from 1 species